GAAGCACUUGUCUGUACUCAAGAUUGGUUGCGAAGGGCCACUCCCAUUAGUAUCCAGGAGGACAUGGAGCAAUUGGGUGAACUAGAGAAAGAGUUGAUUCAAGAAUAUGCUGAUGGGAAAGGUAAACGCAAGGCCGAUUCAUUAUCAGAGAGUGCAAGCAAGGCAACAACAACACCUACCAGCACUUCCUAAAUAUGCUACUGUCAUGCACUCAACAAGUGCUAGGAUGUGUUGCUGGCUUGCUGCUACGUUGCUAGCUACUGGUUGGUUGCUAUGAAGCCUUGAAGGACUGAUGUUGAAUGGCGAUGGCACUCUGCCAGGAUGUGCCCACUCUGUCAUUUAUGAACCUAUGUAAUAUUACAAAUUUAUUUAGUGUUGUAAGCCUGUAAGUGUGUAGUCC